CCGUGCUAGACGGGGAGUUAGCGGUGCCCUGUACCCGCAAUCCGCUUCAGCGGGGUUGAACUCCUCCCCUAGGUUCAGCUUCUGGCCUCUGUCUCCGAGAAUGGCGUUGAGAGCUGGGCCCUGCGCGGCGGAAGACCGUUAACCCCGUCAGGUCCGGAAGGAAGCAGCGGUACGCGGACCCUUCCGAGCGCCGCAGGUCGUCUGGUUCGAGUCUCAUCGGCAGAUACGCCGUGGGGUCAUAAUCAAAGGGAGGUGCACGG
rnacentral:SRP_RNA from 1 species